rnacentral:rRNA from 1 species
UACAGAGGUCUCAAGCGUUGUUCGGAUUCAUUGGGCGUAAAGGGAGCGUAGGUGGCGGGGUUAGUCAGGUGUGAAAUCUCGGGGCUCAACCCCGAAACUGCACUUGAUACUGCCUUGCUAGAGUACUGGAGAGGAGAUUGGGAUUUACGGUGUAGCAGUGAAAUGCGUAGAUAUCGUAAGGAAGACCAGUGGCGAAGGCGAAUCUCUGGACAGUUACUGACACUGAGGCUCGAAGGCCAGGGGAGCAAACGGG